GUAGGUGCCAGUGUGGUCAGUCUGGCCCUCGAAGCUGCAUGUCUUGGCGCCAGUGGAUUUCGAUCUGCACUCAACCUUUACCUUCGCUCCGGCGAUGUAGGUGGAGGCGGGGGUCUCGAAGCCGGCGAGGCAGGUGUCGCACCAGACGCGGCCGCGGACGACGAAGCCCGCGCGGCGGGGGCGGAGGUCGCGGGAGGCGGAGGCGGC
rnacentral:misc_RNA from 1 species